CGCCCCCGCCCGCACAGGUGUGGCACCCGCCCGCCCCGCCGCACUGAGCCGCCUACCCGCGGCCACACGCCAGGCGUCACUCGGGCUGGCGCCGGUCUACCUGGGCAGGCGUGGGGCCUGUCGGGGGCUUCACUGCAGCGCGGAAGGCCAGCCUGCAGAGAGGCUGAGCCGAGCGUCCCAGGCCCAGCGCCCUGGCUGACCCAGCCCCGCCACGUCCAAGGUUCCCGCCCUCUGGAGGAAGCCGCGCAAUCACUCCGGAGGCGGGGAGAGACAGACAACUGAGAGGAAGGAGGUACCACGGGCGCUCUCUCGCGAGAGGGCCGCAGAGCCGCCUUUGACGGGGGCGUGUACCUGGAGAGCGACGGAGCCUAUGAGGUUGGUCCUAUUUUUACUCUCACUUAUCCCUACUUGCCAGAUGAGGAUCCUGAGGCUCAGAGAAACUCUUGACAAAAAUUCUCAGGGAAAACUCUUCAGCUCUGGAUGUCUCCCUUUUUGUGGAUCAAACACAAAGGGCAUCAUUCUAAAAUAUAUACGGAACCAUAAAAGCCCCAAAUAGCCAAAGCAACCCUGAGCAAAAAGAACAAGGCUGGAAGCAUCACACUACCAGACUUCAAAAUUUACUGCAAAGCUCUAAUACCUAAA
rnacentral:antisense_RNA from 1 species